GCAAGCGUUACUCGGAAUUACUGGGCGUAAAGCGUGCGUAGGUGGUUUGUUAAGUCUGUUGUGAAAGCCCCGGGCUCAACCUGGGAAUGGCAAUGGAUACUGGCAAGCUAGAGUGCGGUAGAGGGUAGUGGAAUUCCCGGUGUAGCGGUGAAAUGCGUAGAGAUCGGGAGGAACACCAGUGGCGAAGGCGGCUACCUGGACCAGCACUGACACUGAGGCACGAAAGCGUGGGGAGCAAACAGG
rnacentral:rRNA from 1 species